UAUGUUUCCUCUUUGUUCUUUUUUGUUUUUCUCAGGGGAACACCAUAGAAGAUCAAAUUCUACCUAGGCUUUGUCUCUUGGCUUUUUGAGGAAUGGGCUUUGAGGAGUACAUAAAUAUGAUUUUGGAAGAUGUUGGAAAAAGCCUCAAGAGGGAGAGCAAAAAACUUUAGGGUAGAUUCUUCUUAAGAGAUGCAACACAACAGUCACCCCUUUCUCUCUCUCUCUCUCUCAAUAGUGGAAAUAAUGAUUUCAGAAAUUGUGUAAAUUGGCAUUAUGUUGCCUUUUCAAUCCCAUUGAGGUCUAGCAUCUUUGUUUACUAGCAAUGUUAAAAUUUAGAUACA